UUAUAGGGUCUGAAGAAAAAUGGGAAAAGAAAAAAAUGGGAAAGGGGAACCUUGCUUCACUUGGACGUUUCGAACUCAUGAGACGACCUCUCUUUAUUUUGCUUUGAGCUGCAACUUCAGCCCUCCGAUCAACUUUGCCUUUCCAUCGUUCAUCUUCGGUCACGGCUUCUUCUCCACCGGUUAGGGUCAACAUCAAAGGCCAUUGGAGUUCUAUUUCUCUCGCGCUCUGCCCUAGCUCUUGGGUAUGUUUUCUGCCAAAAUGAAGCAUGUUCGAGCUUUACUCCCCAAGGGCAGCUUCAGCUUUCCAACCAAAACACUGUCGUUCCACUUAGGCCCAGAUAGUGCAGCAGUAAUCUAGCACCGACCCAAUUUUUACAUCCAAUGGUGGCAGCAACGUCAGACAGCGGCAACCCAUUCUCUUUAUCAAUUAAGCGCAAUCAAAUUUCAGCAGCAGCCCAACAACAUUGAAUUCCAGCAGCCACUGAUUUCCAACCUCUCAAUCUCACUUGUAGAAGCCCAAUGCAAUCGACCCAAUUGAAAUCAGCCUUUGUAACAGCUUCACUAAUCAGCUGGCAGCAGCACCUAUUCUUCUCCGAGACCGGCCCAGUUUGAUAAAAACAUUUCA
rnacentral:lncRNA from 1 species